GGCCCGCACAAGCGGUGGAGCAUGUGGUUUAAUUCGAUGAUACGCGAGGAACCUUACCAGGGCUUAAAUGGAAAAUGACAGGGGCAGAGACGCCCCUUCUUCGGACAUUUUCAAGGUGCUGCAUGGUUGUCGUCAGCUCGUGCCGUGAGGUGUCAGGUUAAGUCCUAUAACGAGCGCAACCCUACCGUUAGUUGCCAGCGAGUAAUGUCGGGGACUCUAACGGAACUGCCGGUGCAAACCGUGAGGAAGGUGGGGACGACGUCAAAUCAUCACGGCCCUUACGUCCUGGGCCACACACGUGCUACAAUGGUAGGUACAGAGGGAAGCCACCCCCGCGAGGGGAGCGGAUCUAUAAAACUAUGCUCAGUUCGGA
rnacentral:rRNA from 1 species